UACGAAAGGUCCAAGCGUUAAUCGGAAUUACUGGGCGUAAAGCGUGCGUAGACGGUUAUAUAAGUCGGGUGUGAAAGCCCCGGGCUCAACCUGGGAAUUGCAUUCGAGACUGCAUAGCUAGGGUGCGGAAGAGGGAAGCGGAAUUUCCGGUGUAGCGGUGAAAUGCGUAGAUAUCGGAAGGAACAUCAGUGGCGAAAGCGGCUUCCUGGUCCAGCACCGACGUUCAGGCACGAAAGCGUGGGGAGCAAACAGG
rnacentral:rRNA from 1 species